AGGGAAGUUUUGGAGCCCACCAGCCAGCCUGAUCAGUCAUCAGUCAUCACCCUCCCCGUCUCGUUAAAACCUCCAAUUUUCCCCCGAUUUUCCUUCACUUUCCUGGCAAAAUAUAAAACGAAACACGCGAUAACGUACUUUUCUUCUUCUACUUCUCCAUUUUCUCGUCGACCAAACACUCCUCACUCACAACACGUACGCAAAUUCCUAGAUUAGUAAUGCUACUCUACUAUUAUAUUCAGUGAAGGGCAGGAAAGGAAGGGGAAGGGGACGGGAGGGCGGACCAUGGGUGCGUCUCUAUCAAACCUGACGGAGGGAGCCAGCGGUCCAGGACUCGGAGAUAUACCGGAAAGCUGCGUGGCGUGCGUGUUUACCUACCUGACGCCACCGGAAAUUUGCAAUCUAGCUCGAUUGAACCGAGCGUUUAGAGGCGCCGCAUCAUCUGAUUCCGUUUGGGAGAAGAAGUUGCCGCCUAAUUAUAAAGAUCUGCUCGAUUUGCUCCCUCCUGAACGGUACCAGAAUUUGUCCAAGAAGGAUAUCUUUGCCCAACUCUCGCGUCCCGUUCCAUUUGAUGAUGGCAAUAAGGAGGUGUGGUUAGAUAGAGUGACGGGAAGGGUAUGCAUGUCAAUAUCGGCCAAAGGUAUGACUAUAACAGGGAUUGAGGACCGGAGAUAUUGGAAUUGGGUUCCCACUGAAGAAUCCAGAUUCCAUGUUGUGGCCUAUUUGCAGCAAAUAUGGUGGUUUGAGGUAGAUGGGGUUGUAAAGUUUCCAUUUCCAGCUGAUAUCUAUACUCUGUCCUUCAGGCUUCACCUGGGAAGAUUUGCCAAAAGGUUGGGACGACGUGUAUGCAACUUUGAGCACACUCAUGGUUGGGAUAUAAAGCCAGUACGGUUUGAGUUGUCUACUUCUGAUGGUCAGCAAGCAUCAUCUGAAAGUUGUUUAGAUGAGACUGAACAAGAAGAAGCAUAUGGCAACCAUAAACGUGGAUUGUGGAUAGAGUACAAGGUAGGUGAAUUUGUUGUCACUGACUCAGUACCUGCCACUGAGGUCCGAUUUUCGAUGAAACAAAUUGAUUGCACACAUUCCAAAGGUGGGCUUUGUGUAGAUUCAGUUUUUAUUAUCCCCAGUGAUCUCAAGGAAGGUAAAAGAAGAGGGGUUUUGAAGUAGCCAGAACAAAAAGACCAUGUUUUUAGUGUUGUCAACGGUCCCAGAAGUUUCUAGUUGGGUUUUAUCAUACAGCUUACACUUCUGAAGUAUUGUGUUACUAUCAGAAAAAGGAAAACUAAAAACUACUCUCUCCCACUUCCUUUAAAAUCCAGCAACCGGUUCACGACCGCAAGAUGCUUCCAACAAUUAAAGAACGGUUAUCUUAUUCUUUGCUUUCAUCUGGAUUAAUUUUUCUAGAGAUUAUCUGUGUGUUUAUUAUCUAUGAUUUGCUUUGAUCAUUGUAGUCGUAUAGCAUCUAGAGAGGGCUUUAUUGUGUAGCCAAAUCUACCCACAAAUGCCAUACAUUUCCUUCGGCACUUGAUUUUGCAGACUUACCUUUUACCUUCUCUGUUUGUUUUGAAGUUCAACCUGAUAUAUGCUUGCCUGAUUACAUUCAUUUCCAUUAUUGUUUUGGUUGCUAUUUGGUUUAUCUUAUGAGAUCAGUGUCUAUAGCAUGCUUUGAGUUCCAGGACAAAUGACUGGUUUCAGUUGUUGAUGGAUUAUGCAAUGGCUAAGCCUUAGACCGUGGUCCACCGUCUGCGGCCCCACCCAUGUAGGAUUAAACUAUGCAGAAACCUUUUGUGAAGAUGGGUUCGUUUAAGACUGAAAGUGGCGUGUGAAAGUUUCCUUAUUAACUCAAUUGUUUCUAUCAGCAGGUCCUAACCUCAUUUUGGACCACCAUUGAAAGUUGAAGCUCAUUUUAAUAGGAUGCUUCCUUCUCUAUGUUUGUUGUGAUGGGUUUGGUUUCUCUAGCAGGUUUUACAUUUAAAGUUUCCCCAGCUUAGCAAGGACCACUCAUUCUUUGACAUGUUCUGUGACUUAGACCUUGUGUUUUAGGUCUGCCUUCCAUGUCCUUGCUCUCUUCCAUUGCCCUUGCUUAGGCUGUGGACCUUUUUUUUUUUUUUUUGAAAAAUUAUUAUUUAUUUGCUGUGGUAGGAUGAAACCAAUUAAUUAAUUCAUGUGUUUAAAAAAUACAUGUGAUUGAAAACUAAACUAAAAUGUUCAUCCCUUAA